ACUGUUAGCAGUAGAGCUGACUCUAUGGGUAGUAACUGUUAGCUUUAGAGCUGACUCUAUGGGUAGUACUGUUAGCCUUAGAGCUGACUCUAUGGGUAGUAACUGUUAGCCUUAGAACUGACUCUAUGGGUAGUAACUGUUAGCCUUAGAGCUGACUCUAUGGGUAGUAACUGUUAGCCUUAGAGCUGACUCUAUGGGUAGUAACUGUUAGCUGUAGAGCUGACUCUAUGGGUAGUAACUGUUAGCUGUAGAGCUGACUCUAUGGGUAGUAACUGUUAGCUGUAGAGCUGACUCUAUGGGUAGUAACUGUUAGCCGUAGAGCUGACUCUAUGGGUAGUAACUGUUAGCUGUAGAGCUGACUCUAUGGGUAGUAACUGUUAGCUGUAGAGCUGACUCAAUGGGUAGUAACUGUUAGCCUUAGAGCUGACUCUAUGGGUAGUAACUGUUAGCUGUAGAGCUGACUCUAUGGGUAGUAACUGUUAGCCUGACUCUAUGGGUAGUAACUGUUAGCCUUAGAGCUGACUCUAUGGGUAUAACUGUUAGCUGUAGAGCUGACUCUAUGGGUAGUAACUGUUAGCCUUAGAGCUGACUCUAUGGGUAGUAACUGUUAGCUGUAGAGCUGACUCUAUGGGUAGUAACUGUUAGCUGUAGAGCUGACUCUAUGGG
ensembl:lncRNA